rnacentral:lncRNA from 1 species
AUGAACGUGGCUCGAGAAAGGACAAUCGUUCCUGUAGCAAAACUCUCUCUUCUCUCUCCUUGAAGGCGAUUUUUCCUUUUCUUCCGCUUUUAGAUCUAGGGUUGUGACUAAAGUGCUUCAACGAUGGCCGGCGGUCUUGAAAUUUGAGGUGCGGUGGUGAGACAGGUUCUGUCUUCGUCAGUGGUGGUGUGGAUUCCUCUCCAACGAUCUUGCGGUGGCUCCGGUUGAGCGGUGGCUCCGGUUGAGCGGUGGGUUGAUCUGGUGCUGUCGCCUCUGGUUGAGGACGCUGGAGGUUGCAUCGGUGUUGUCUCGUGGCUCAGCCGUCCGAUUGGAAGCUGCAACAAUGGCGGAAGUCAACGGAGAGGUGGUGGGUUCGCUGAGUAGUUAUGGUGGUUCACGUUAGACCGGCAAUCUUGAUGGCUACUACGGGUUUACAGAUCUAGUGUGCUCGCCUGAGCCUUCGGCCUCUAGAUCUGCCGUGGUGGUGUCCACCGGACCGAAUUGAUGGUUGUGUCUCUGAGAGAUCUGAGGGUUUCCGGUUGGGUUUGUGGGGAUAGUUCCCAGUGGGUCGGAUUACUAGGCAUGGGAUCUGACUCCGUAGAGCCGUUUGUUGGCGAGUUACGCAUCUCGGGAGGACUGUAGCGGGUUCGGUGGCUCGACGGUGUGAAGCUGACGGCGGAAAUUGGAUUCUUCCGUCAUUGGCCUCAUCCCCUCGUCGCUACCGCAAAGCCGUCGUCCUUGAAUCCACCGGGGUUGGUGCGUCUGACUCGUCACCUCCGGUUAACAACAAGUUCCGAGCCGCAGCUCCGUUACCGGCGUUUCCCGAUGGUUUUUUUUUUUGUAACUGUACCUUUGAAUUGUAACGCUUAUGGCUCAAGCCCAUUAAGGGGAUUUUUAAUAUAAAGUUAAAAAAAAAAAAAAAAAAAAAAAAAAAACUUGGUGCGGUGAAUCGUUCAUGAUCCAACAUCUGUCUAUUUUCCCUUUAUGACUCAAUUUGUAAUUUUAUUCAAGAUGAGUCUCUGUUAAAUUAGAGUGAACACCAAACCGGCUACCUGGAAGAAAAUAGAAAUUGUGAAGACCUAGUAUUUUCACAUGCUUAAUUUAGCAAGAAACACGAACCACAGAUUCAUAUUUAGUAUUUUUCAAGAAGAAAAUGUGACUAUGUGGACGAAUAGGUUUUUGAUCAAAAGGAAGUCGUUUUGACUAAUGUACAUCAUCAAAUAAAUAUCAGUAGUUAAAGCUUAAGCCACUCAACUUUUUUUUUGAUAAAGGAAGUCACUCAACUUACUCGAAGAAAGAACUUUAGUAUUUAUUUUUUGGUUUUAAAUAUUAAAAAAAAAACAACUUUAGAUUCAAUCACGAUACAUUAUAAAUAAUAAAACAAAAUUAUUAAGAAAUUUUUGCAAGACUAUCUUUUUUUUUUUCUUGAAGAGUUUACUAAACUAGAUUGAAUGGAUACAAAGGUUGGAUCUAAACUUGUAUGCCUUACAAAAUUUUCCAAGAAAACAAGUUGAGAAAAAUAGGCAGAUAUAUUACAAGCUUUGAGUGAUAUUAGAGACUAUAUUUAUAAAUAUGAAAUUGAAUAACUAAAUAAUUAUCAUAAAAUAUUUAAAAACAAUAUAUUAUGAAUUUUCAUUAUUUGAAAAUAAAAAGUUGAUAGUUCCUUUAGAAUAACUGAAUAAAAGUAUGUGUGAUUUGCUAAUAAUCUAUAUAGAUUAUUAUAUAUAUAGUGAAAAUUACUGAAUAAAAGUAUAUAUAUAUAUAUAUAUAUAUAUAUAUAUAUAUAUAUAGUGAAAAUUAUCAAUCAAAAUAUCUAUUCAAUAGAAAUUGUUAAUUUGAGGCUAGUGAAUGCUCACUGAACACAACUUUGUAAUUCUAAGAGAUCGACUUUGAGAAGCUGAAGGGAUGAUUUUAUUUAUUAAGAGAAGAGGGCUAUGCAUAGCUUUUACAUAAAACAAUAGAGAAUACCUUAAUUAAUAAGUUGAAAACUAAGAACAAACUCUACCCUUUGAACAGAAUAGAUUAUCCCAGAGACUAGGAAAUUAUUGACAAACGUAAGACAUAUAUAUAGCAAAAGAACCGAAUAUCUAACAUCCCUCCCCAAAUUCACAACUUUUUUUUUUUUUUUUUUUUUUUUUUUUUGAAAAUACCAUUUUAUAUAUAUAAACACGAGUCAAUACAACGAUGAAGCACUAGAGCAUAGAGUGUAAGGAAGGAGAAUGUUGAGAAGUGUGAUAGCAUCGAUCACUUCCUCGUUGUUGCUCAGAACUAGGCCUGGGCAUUCGGAUUUCAAAUCGGAUUCGGAUCGGAUAUAUUCGGAUUCGGAUAAUUCGGGUAUGAGAGUUUAUUAUCCGUUCGGAUUUUAUGAUUUUUCGGUUCGGUUUCGGUUCGGAUAUAUUCGGAUUCGGAUAAUUUGGAUAGGAGAAUUUAUUAUCCGUUCGGAUUUUAUGAGUCACCGACUCGGUUUCGGUUCGGAUAGGUGUCGGAUUCGGAUCGGUUUUCGGGAAAAAAAACUUAAAAAUAGUUCAAUCUUAAUAAAAAUUGGUUUAAUCUUACUAAAAUUUGGUUAAAUUUUGCAAAAAUAUGUAUAAUUUUAACAAAUAUAACUAAAUUUUUUCCCAAAUCUAGGAUAUUUAGGAUAUUUUUGUUAUUUGCUAUAAAAUUACAACUAAGGGGGGUUAUUGGAUGAAAGAAUUGAAUAGAAUUCAAUUAGAUAGAAUUAAAGAAGUAAGCUACAGAUUUUUAAGGAAUUGUUUAAUUCUAACGAUUAUACUUUUUAAUAUUUUAAUAGAAUUUGGUAGAAAAUUAUCCCACGAUUGUAGCUCUCCACUUAACCUCUAUCCAAUCUAUACGAUCCAUCUUCUUCCUGUAUAGGUAGGGUUAAUAUUCUGGUCAUGAAGAGAGGAGGCAUCAUCAUCUCUCAUUAAUCUCACUCCCAAUCUAUUCUGUCACAUAAUCCUUCACACUCCUUCCUUUGGUUCCACCAUUGUUGUGCUGUUUGAUCCAUAACCAAUCUCUCUCUUCAAACUCACUUUAAGCUUACUACAGAUAAUUCUGAUGUCGCUCUUAGAGAUAAUCUUGUCUCCUUCCAGACGCUAAUCGCACAAGUUUCCGGCGACGGUAUCGAUGUCAGUCCCGGUCUCGGAGAUGCUCCCACCUCUACCGUCAAACCGCUAACUGCACAAUUGUUGUAAUUCUUACAUCUAACCUCAUUGAGGUUAGUUCACUCUUUCUUUAUGUCUCUCUCUUUAUCACACUAUGUUCUUGUUCUUGCUUAGAGAGGAACACAAGAAACGUUUUUGCUUUAAUCUUCUACAUUGUAUUAAUUGGAUCACAAGGAUACUCUUACACAACACACAUAACACAUACAUAUAGUGGUUUAUCUCCACUUGCUACUCUAGACACAUGAACCUUAAUCAUGACUCUUACACAAGCCAUACUCCUAAACACUAGGCUAACUAUUGACCUUACUUCUAGAUAGAAGUCAUACAAGCAACGUUUAACAACUCUCGUAGACUCUUACCACUCAUACUAACAACCAUUUAGACAAAACACUCUUCACUAGUUUGGGCCUUUUCACUUGUAGGCCCAUCACACCAAACAGAAAAACACCAAGCCCAACUUCCUUGUUGACUUGUCUUCUGUCGUUGACUCUCUUUGUCGACUUCUUCUUCUUCUCUUUGCUCUGCUAAAGCUUUCUCUUUGUUGCAGGUUUAAUCAAGGACUCAAUUCCCAACAACAAUUCUCCGGAGACCGUCACCGACAAUGUCAAAACCUAAGCGUCCCAAUAUAGUUUUUAAUUCUUUCAAAAUCACAACCUAAAAGCUGAGAAUUUGUUCUUUACAUUUUACACUAGAAUUUCUAUUAAAUUCUUGUCAAAUAACUUUUUCAUCCAAAACUACAUAAUAUUGAAUAACACUUGCAUUUGAUAGAAUUAAGAAAUUAAGAAAUUGAAUAACAGAAGAAUUUAAAAGAAUUCAUAAAAUACCUUGUUGAAUAACACUAGAAUUUAACAUUCUAUUAAAUUCUUCCAAAUUCACUCGUUCAAUACCCCCACCUAAAUAUAACUAAUAUUUUUGGAUAUAUAAUUUUUAUUUCCGGUUUUCGGAUAUCCUUUCGGUUUUCGGUUCGGAUCGGGUUCGGUUCGGAUAAUUCGGAUAGGAGAAUUCAUUAUCCGUUCAGAUUUUGUGACUAUUCGGUUUGGGUUCGGUUCCGGAUUUUUUGGAUCGGUUUCGGAUCGGUUUUCGGAUUUUGGGUUUUAUACCCAGGCCUACUCAGAACUGUGGCCGUUCCCUCAAAAUGAUUUCCACUCAAUUCCAUUGCAAUGAAUACGAAUGCAUAGUCGUGACCGUUCAUUCCCCCCACCCCGGGAAACUCGCCACAUAUAGUUGUCGGUGAAAGUUCCCUAUAAAGAUUUAUGAACACAGUUGGCAUCAUGCAUUGAUUUAUUUGUACUUAUCAGAUUAGUAAAGUUAGAGAGAUAAGGGAAAAGAUUAAUUCACAUUAAUUGGUAAAUGUGUAUACAAUAGAGUAUUUAUACUCUGUUAAAUAUGAGCUGUAAUUACAUUGUAAGCUAUAUACAAGUAUUAAGUUAUAUACUCUAAUAGUGCUUAAAAGUUACGAUCUUAAAAAACCACAUAAAAUUCAAUCUUCACGACUUGCAUUUGAAGGCGAUUUAUAUUAAGCGUCGUCUCAAUAUUUUCGAAGAAAACCAUAUGGGUUUGUGGAUCAACCCCUAUGUCUGCCAAAUUAACCAAACGCCUGUGCCGAGUUUCAAAGAUACGAGUCAGCCGAGUGACUCUUGAACAAGUUUGUCCACUAAAGGUUGCAAGGCCCAUUCAUAUUCCUUUUUUAUUUAACAUUAAUUGUUUUUCCAUUUUUAUUUUGUAUUUUCCUAAGAAAUGCUUAUAAAAUAUCUAAUAUCUUCUUACAUUAUUGAUAGUUUUAUUCUUAUUAGAUAUCCUGUUUAAUUUUUUUCGUACCUUGUUUUCAAAAUUCUUACAUACUCCAUAUUUUUGUAAAAAGUCAUAAAUCAAGAUAAAUACAACAACUAAUUAAUCUCCAUAAUAUACUAUAGAUUUGAUAAAAACUUAUUUUGAGAAAAAAAGCUUAACAUACUGAAAGUAAAGUAAAAAUAUGAACUACGUGCAUCAUUUAUUCAAAAAUGAAGCAUUUUAAAAAAAUUUAUAUUUUUAAACUUAGUUAUAGUUUUAGGUGAAAAAUAAAUUUCUCUAGACCAUUUAAACAAUAAUUUAUAUUUUGGGUAUAUCAUUUAAUAUUAAUAUAUAAUUACAUAAAAUAAUUAAAUAAUCCCUAUAAACAAAAUUUCUGGUUCUGCCACUGGUUGCAAUCACUGCAUUUGCCCAUCAGCAUUCAUUUCGUUAAUUAGAAACGAAAAGAUGAAAAAGAAAGAAAGAAAGAAAAAUAUUUCUUGUAAAGCUUUUGAUGAAGAGACUAAAAUGUAAGAUUUCAUCUCAAUGGCAAUGCAUAUAUAUAUUAGUCAUAUUCAGUGCCAUUCUCUAAUUAAAAUAAAAAUAAAAAAGUAUAUUAUUUAGAGAGUUCUUCUCAACUAAGUUGUUUCUACAUAUGAAAAUCACAUUAACAAUAUUUACCUAACCCCACUACGUACCUAUCUUUUUCACCAGAGGGAAUCUUUCCAACUUAAACCAAAGGUUUUAGCAUUUUCGUUUUACGCAACCACUCAAUUACUUUAUUCAUUGCAUGGCAGUCUAAAAAAAACAUGCAGAAACAAGAAAAGUAACUAUUGAUUUUCAUAUGGGUAAUGUAUCAAAAAUCUCAAUUACGUACCUCCAACCAAGAAAUUACUAUGAAAACAUUUUUAAGAACAUGUGACUACCAACCGAUGAUGAAUUUACAGUGGAUUUGACCAAUGGAUUGUGAAAUGAAUACCAAAUAUUAUUUAUCGUAAUUGAUUUUUUCUCAUUGCUAGAGAAAUAUAAUUAUCAACCGAUGGGAACGUGACGAAUCUCAAAUGGUGUUAAAGUAUGAAAAAAACAAAAGUUCUAUGGUUUGAGUCAAUAAUGGUGAAAGUGAUUGUUCCGUUGUAAAUGAGACUUUGUGUGUGUUCAUCAAAUUAGUUAAUCCCCAAAAUGGUAAUGCAUGCAUUAUUAACAUAUACGAAAGUUUGAAUUGUUUAUGACUCAUUACAACACCUAUAUAAUCUACUUUAUGACUCACAAGUUGUUUAAGAUGAGUUUGUUACAUCAAAGCAAUUGCCUACGUAGAUAAGAGUAUCUGAAUUGUGAAGAGUUUAAUUUAGCAAAAAACUCGAACCUUACGCAAUUGAUUACUUUUCAAGAAGAAGAAAAUUACUAUCUUUCAAAUAAUUUUUUUUUUAAAAAAAUCACUAUCAUCAUAUAUGUGGACCAAUGUGGGUAUUUGAUGAAAGGCAAGUUCUUUUGACUAAUGAACAUCAUCGAAUAUUUUCAAAAAACGCUCCACUCUUUUUCAAUAACCAACUAUAUAUAAUUUCAAUUACUUUACAAUUCAUUGAAAAAUUAUAAAACAAAAUUGAGUAACAAAAUUUAUACUUGGCUAGUUGAAAAUGUAUUCAAGAUAAUAUUUAUUGAUAUCCAGUUACGUAACUGAAUUUUCAUAUUGUAUUUGCCAAUGAUUGAUAAUGUAUUUUUAUUAACCAUAAGAAAAAUUUGGUAAACUCUCCGGAUUAAAGUAAUUACUGAAAGAGUGUGUGUGAUUUGCUAAUAAUUAUCUUUUGGCCCGAGAGCCUAGAGUUGUCUAUGCAUGUUUUCCUUAUAACAUAGAGAUUAUUAACUCUUAAGAGUAUAUAUAUAUUUUCAAUUUAUGCUAAAUUUAUUUUGUUCCCUUAGAAAACAAGCGAACAUAUUAAAAAAAUAAUAUAUGUUGAGAGUUUUGUCAUCCAGGUGUUUUACUCUUUGCAUGUGAUAGUAGAGAAUUGGAGCUUCUUUUGGCAAUGAGUAAUGUAAUUAGAACCAUGACUUAUGGGCUUAGGGCAACGUUUUCAUUUUUCUUCAACUUUUUCGAAUAACCAACUUUAAUAUCAAUUACUGUACAUUACAUUUCGGAAAAAAAAAAACUAAAACAAAAAUUGUGUAACAUGCGUAAGUUAUAUACUGUGCUUGAUUAUUUAAACAUAUAUUCAAGACUUUAAUUAUUGAUAUCAUGAGCAACUUAAUUUUCAUAACAUUAAAAUGAUCGGAUAUUAAAUUUUUAUAUAUGAGAUUUUGAUAAACUACAAGAGUACGUGUGUGAUUUGCUAAUAAUAACAUGUCGGUACGAUAUAAAGAAAAAAAACAAAACAAAAACAAAAAAACAUUUUGGUACGAAAGUCUUUGCAUGUAUAUGAAUUGAACUGUCUAGAAUUUUUUAUUGUUUUUUUUUUCUGUCAUGGAGAUUCAAUUAAUUCUUAUAUAUUUUAAUUUCAAUUAAUUCUUGAUAAUUCAAUUCGUUUCUUUAGAAAAUUGCCAUGUCCCUAUUUUCUUAUUUAAUAUCACUUUGUUUAACUAUUCAGACAGUGACGUGAUUAAGGGACAAAACCCGGAUUUCUACAAGAAGCUUGAAGGAACCAUGACCGUCAUUUACACGGAAGGCAAUGAAGGUGGCCGCGCGUGCGAUAUGGAUAUGGACGGUGCAGUAUGAGAAGAUUAACGAUGACAUUAAGGACUCACGAUUCAUCAUCGACCUAGUACAAAAUAAUACUAUCAGGAGAUGGAUGAGAGAAUCUUAAUCACGUCACUGUCGAUGAUGGUUUCUUUGAGCGGCUUGAACCACUCCGGGAUCUGAAAGCCCUCCACUCUUAACUGGGCAUAUAAUACUAUAUUAUUCAUGGGCAUAUAUGAUAUAUAUGUAUCUUGAAAGAUACGUAACGUGCCUAUACACCAAAAAUCAAACUCCGCAAUCAUAAACGUGGAUGUUUCAUAAAGAGGUUCCAGUUUAUUCAACUUCUUCAUACUUAGGAAAAUCAUAUAGAAACGAUCGAAACCCUCUUAUAUAAUUUAAAGAUAUUUCUAGUUUUAGGCAAUAGAUUGCUUAAGCAGAUACUCAUCUAUCUCUUUGAAGUUCUUGACAGCAAAGUCCUUGAUGACGUGUGGGUCAUCGAUCUCAUGGGAGGUCUUCUCAAACUCACCGGACCAUUUCAGAAGGCUACCACCAUCCUUAGGAAUAACGGUGAUGGUUCCUUUGAAAGUUUUGUAGUACUCCAACAUUUCUCCGCCAAUGAUGCUGUACGACAUGCUUUUGUUCUCCAAAUCCACUGCUUCGAUCCUCUCAGCCGAUAUCUUCACCAGUGGAGAUCCUAUAUAUACGUUUAAGAAUAGAAGCAAUGAACAAUUUUUUGAAUAAAGAUAUGGUGAAAGAUAGUCAAUGAGGACAUAGAGCAUUUAGGGUUCAUACUGAGUUAUAUAGCCCACUAAGUAACAUGAAUGAUUCUUUUAUUAUAAUCUUUAAUACAUACAUCUCUUCCGGUCAAGAACCACACUUGGUUUUUUUAAAAAUAAAUGUCUUCCUGAAUAUAAACUCAAUCUUGGGUGCGACAAGAUUUAUGGUUCUCUCCAAUAAAUUUAGCCAUUUAGGUAACUAUUCGAAAUAUGAAUUAUUAAUGGUUACAAAUUGAAGAAAGAAUGAGACACUGUACCUUCUCCAUAAGUAAUGAGGCGAAUGGAGCCAGGAGCGUUGCCAUCGCCGGCUAGAACUUGGAUGGUUUUGUAGUCGUUAGGGAAAGCUUUGGGGAAGAGAUUGAUGCCGUCACCGAGGGCUACCCAAAACUUUUCAGCCGGAGACUUAACCUCAACCUCCACAUGAAGAACACCACUCAAUCCCAUUUUUCUACUUUACAAAAAAACUCAAUUAUUAUUUGUAUGUCUUUGAAUGAUUUGUUUGUAUAACUUGUCAAUGAACGUGUCUAUAUAUAGAGAGGUUUUGAAGCCUUUAGUGAUAUUAUAAAUUGCAUUAACUUUUAGGAGCAAAUCAUCCAACCAAUUUUUCAUCCUAUGGGUCCUUUUACAAUUAACCAAAAGCAUAUGCAUUUGCCAUUCUUCAUUGCUAUCUCACCCACUCAAGGAGGUGGGUGAAUCACUAAAUUGAUGCAUGGUUAACUUUCAGUACAAAGAAAAUACAAAAUGGUCAAUAUAUAAACAAAAAAAAAAAAAUCUGUACUACUUAAAAAAAAUAUUUCUGUCGGUGAUAAAUGUUUUUUAAAAAACAUAUAGAUUUUAAUUUUGAGCAAACAAAGAUAUAGAUGUUAGUUUUAUGCAUGGUUACACUAUUUUUUCUUCUUAUUAUGGAUUUCGAUUUUGAGAAAACAAAAAUAUUUCAACUUUUUCAUAUUUUUACAUGAUUUUAUAUAUACCAUUUGUAGCACUUGAUUAAUUGCAAAACGAAAAUGAAGUUUGAGGAUAACCUUUUUUUUUUUUUUUUUUUUUUGGGCAACAAAAAGUUUGAGGAUAACCUAUAAUCGGUUUCUCCUCUUUCAAGGUUUGUAGAUCAAAAUUUCUUAGCAGAUUUGCCAGCUAAUAAUGAUGAUAAUCAGUCUUUCAAUUAAGUUUAAUAUAUUUGAAAAACAAUUUAUCAUAUAGAGUUUUUAUGGUCUAGAGAUGAUAGAAGUGUCUCUUUCGUAUUUCUUCAGAUCGAUUGUGUGAGAUUACCAUUGACCCCAACUAUCUUUUGUAUCGUUCAACAAAGAACGGGAAAACCGAUCAUUUCAUACUCCAGCUAAAGUACUAUGUUCAAUUCAUAUCCCAAAUUUAUAGUUGUGCAAAUCCAUACACUAACUAUUCGUAAUUUCAAAUUCACUUCCCAAACUAACUAAUUCGUGCUAGUUUAUACCCAAACCCUGACGAUGUUAGAAGUCCGUCAACGGUUGCUUACGUGGAUGCCACGUGUGAACGACGUCGUUUUGUGAUGGACAAAGAGACAAUAAAAUUUUGUUAAAACGUCGUCGUUUUACGUGAGUCUUCACCUUCUUCAACUUUUAUUUCUUUCUCUCCCGACAAUGUUCCUUAAGAUCUUAAGUCGAAAAUAAGAGAUUCUGUUACGAGUUGAAGCUACGUGAAAGACGUGUUGCAGGACGUGAAGAGCUUCUGUUAGUGGAAUAGGAGAUUCUAUAUUUGAGUGGAAGGAAAAAUGAGGUACGUUUCAUUCAAAUUUAGGGUUUUAAAAAUUGGGGUUUUUUUAUCAAACGAUCAAAUUGCGAGUGUAUUGUUAUAAAAUGCGAUGGAUUUUGUGUGUAUUUCUAUAUUUUGGAUGAGAUUGAUGGGUGUUUUAAGGUUUUGAGUUAAGAAUUGACUAUGUAAUUUUUAUGAGCACCAAGUGUUCGAUAAAAUGUCAAAACGAAAAAAUCAUUUUUUUCUUUCAUUUUCAGCAAUGAAGACGAUGCAAGUUUCCAAUGCUACUACGGUGGGAAGUUUAUAGUAGAUAAUGGGAAUAAAUUUAGCAUGUUGGAGGAGGGAUUCUCAGCCUUGAAAGCAAACCACAAGCAUUAUUGACCAAUUUGAUGGAGUCGUUGAACGAGUCUCUUUGUCAGCAACGCAUUUGGUUUAAGCUUCCAUAUGAGGAGUAUACAGAGCUUAAGCUUAAGUCCCAGGAGAUUGAAAGUUUUUGUUAUAAUCUCAGGAGAACUUUUACGGUUAUGUAAUGGUGUUUUAGGUUCUGUUUGGUUAUGUAAUGGUGAAUGAUAAUGUCGUUGUCCUUUUAUGGUACUAAUAUUUAUUGUUUUUUUGGUACUGAUAGUUAUUGUUUCUUUUGGUCUGUUUUUCCUCAAAAACCAUCUAUUUUCCAAAAAAAAAAAAUUCACUUCCCAAAAAAGAAGAAGACUCACGUAAAACGACGUCGUUCUACCAAACUUUUAUUGUCUCUUUGUCCAUCACAAAACGACGUCGUUCACAUGUGGCAUCCACGUAAGCAACCGUUGACGGAUUUCUAACACCGUCACGGCUUGGGUAUAAACUAGCACGAAUUAGUUAGUUUGGGAAGUGAAUUUGAAAUUACGAAUAGUUAGUGUAUGGAUUUGCACAACUGUAAAUUUGGAGUAUGAAUUGAACAUAGUACUUUAGCUGGGGUAUGAAAUGACCGGUUUCCCAACAAAGAACCAAGUAAGUGAAGUAGCACAUUUUACAUAAUUGGUUCUCAUUUAUGACCUCUCAUAAUAACUGUGGACCAACAUGUGAAACAUGAUGAGAUUUAAAUGGUUAUAAAUAAUGUAUUUAUCAAAAAUAAAUCAGUAAACGUUCACGUCACACAAUUAUUUAAACAUAACAACUUAUUAAUUGCAAAUUUAUUUUCAUAAGAACAAAACUUUCUAAUGAUAAAGAUCUGAAUGUUUUUGCUCUUUAUCUUGUACGAUAAUGUUCUUGGUGGCAUGGUUAGGUGCAAUAAAGCCAAAACAAUUUCAUCAUCGUUAGGUACUUUUAUUUCACAAUUGUGCGAGAAAACAGCAUGUUGUUUUCCAUUGCUAUAAAACGGCAACCACUCUGCAAUCUUAAAAUAACAAGGUUCUAAAUGAGUCAUCAUUUCUAUUUGAAGCAAAUGUUCAUCGGAACCCAAAUCUUUACUAUACAAUUGGAUACGUUAAAAUUACAGUAGCCUAGGAUUUGACAAGCUUAUUAUAAAACUAAGAUUGCUUUUAAGAAAAUUAUAGGUUUUCUUCUAACAAGCCACUUAUAAAUUUAAAAUUAUAUAAUCUCUAUCCCUCAACGAACUAUGAAAACAACAUUAGUUAAUAGCAAUUGAAACGAAAAGGGUAAGGAAACACUCUGAAAGCAGCUUCUCAUCUCCAUUUGAUCGACAGAAAUACGUACGUACACAAACUGGUUAGAAGGAGAUAGAUUCAGACAAGAGAACCAAACCGAGAAUUUGACCUUAAAAGCGUUAAAGAAACAUCAAGUCUUUACUUUCUCAAGAUGGCUCUCAUUUUCUUUUGCUUCACGUACAUGUAAUCUACGUAUUUUUUAGCUCUACCGUCUCUUUCUCUUUCUCUCUCUUGAAUGAACUUCGGUAGUUGAAAUACUGCUGUUGAGUAUUUCAGAAACCUAACCCUCAAAAUCAAUUAACUUUAUUACACUCUCUAUAUUUAUCAUCUUCAACUACAACAAUCUUCUGUUUCUUUGGAAGCAACUAACUUACAAAGGAUAUAUUCACGACUACAAAGACACACCCUCUUCUGUCUUAAGGACGAGACAGAGAAGCUUCUUCUAUUGGCUUUGGAAUGGUCUCUGGCAUCUACGAAGCAUAAGAAAAAACCAAAUCCAAACUAAAGCUAUGCAUUUUCCUCUUGUUUCGGCUUGGAACAAGAGAAGGAGAAGCAAAUCUUAUGAUACGGAUCCAUGUACGUUCCUUUUCUCCAUCAUCUUCGCCAGAUGGCAUAAAAGUAUGUUAUCAUUUUUGUUUCGACAUUACUACUAGUGAAUAAAAAGGGUUUUGGUGAAACUGAAUCAUCUGUGUGAAACUAACCUGAUUCUCAGGGGUCUACAGAACAGCAGAGUGCUGGCAAAUCGAAGAUCAAGCGUCUCAGCCAAGGAAGCGAAGAUUCGGGUCAUCAGUUUAUACCCUCAAGGAGAUGGAGGAGGCCACAAGUUCUUUCAGCGAUGAGAUCUCCUCGGCAAAGGAGGCUUUGGUCGAGUAUACAAAGGCACUCUAAAAACAGGAGAGGUAGGAACUAUAUUGCUUCAUUUAUGUGAUUUACAGGCUUUGUAAUGUUACAAACACUUUUCUAUGGAAGAGGAGCUAUUAGAGUAGGAUACAUAUUAUCUUGAUCCCUUGUUAUUUGAAGGUUGUUGCAAUCAAGAAGAUGGAUUUACCUACGUUUAAAAAGGCUGAUGGAGAAAGAGAAUUUCGUGUGGAGGUGGAUAUCUUGAGCAGACUCGACCAUCCAAAUCUGGUAUCAUUGAUUGGCUAUUGUGCAGAUGGAAAACACCGGUUCCUAGUAUAUGAAUAUAUGCAAAAUGGAAACCUGCAAGAUCAUUUGAAUGGUAAGUCCAUGAAAUAAGAGUCAAGUCCAGUAAAGGCAAUUGGUGACUGAACCACGUCUUUCUCACAGGAAUAAAAGAAGCAAAAAUAAGCUGGUCAAUAAGGCUCAGAAUUGCACUUGGAGCAGCCAAAGGACUCGCGUAUCUACAUUCAAGUUCUUCUGUUGGGAUUCCAAUUGUUCAUAGAGAUUUCAAAUCCACCAACGUUCUACUAGACUCCAACUAUGAUGCAAAGGUGAUUACACAGUAAAUUAAAUGGAUGGUUUAUGCAGCACUAAUAUCAAGCAUACAGUAGAACUAAGACGUGAAUGUAUCCUUGCAGAUAUCCGACUUUGGACUAGCAAAGUUGAUGCCAGAAGGAAAGGAUACUUGUGUGACAGCAAGAGUUCUAGGAACAUUUGGCUAUUUCGACCCAGAAUAUACAUCGGUAAAAUAUUCUUACGUAUAUCUUCGCAUGAUUCACUUCCUGUAAAUGAAAAUGAUGAGAUGGCAAAGGGUUCACUAGACGCUACUUAACUAAAUUGAAAACUCACUAAUAAUAACAUGAAAUGUCCUGGAAUAGUAACUUUAAUUACACUCACAUAUCAGAACCAUAAGCAAGGAAGUACAGUUUUUAGCAUAACUUGUUUUCCAUUUUUCUGUGGCAGACAGGUAAACUUACUCUACAAAGCGACAUUUAUGCAUUUGGGGUUGUGCUUCUAGAACUACUUACUGGACGCAGAGCAGUUGACUUAACUCAGGGCCCAAAUGAACAGAACCUGGUGCUACAGGUAAAACAGACCUCAUAGUUCUAAGAUUCACAAACAUAAAAGUUUCACAGAUCAGGAAACUUAACAUAGGAAUAAAAUACUUAAUUUUCUCUACGUUUCAGGUUAGGAAUAUACUGAAUGAUAGAAAGAAAUUGCGUAAGGUUAUAGAUGCCGAGCUGCCUCGGAAUUCAUACAGCAUGGAAGCUAUAGCUAUGUUUGCUGAUCUAGCAUCACGGUGCAUCCGUAUAGAGAGUAAAGAGCGGCCUUCAGUGAUGGAUUGUGUUAAGGAACUGCAACUAAUUAUCUACACAAACUCGAAGGGUGGUUUGGGUGGGACGAUUCCCACAUUCAGAAGGCUCUAGACACUGAAUUCUUUGAAACAAGUAAUAUGGAUUAUUGUCAUUUUUCCUAAAAUGAGAGGUCACUGAUUAAAAACUUGAUAAAUAUAAACAAACAAUCCUAAAUUCCUAAUUAAGAAUUACCGGAAAAUUUAUAUUCAACUUCCAGCCACUAAACUUUCAUCAAGCGAUAUUAUUUGGAUGUAUAUACUAUAAAGUCAAUAAGAAAAUCGGAUCAAGCAAUAGAUGUAUUUGUAUAGUAUGUUGUAUUUGCUAUGAAUGUGUUGCUUGAAGAGAAAUGAGUAUAUAUAUUCAGGGGUGUAGCCUUUUUUUUUCUUUCCUUCUUUCGCCUAAUGCCUAAAGAAUUGACCACAUGUAUAUGUACAAGAAAAACAAUUGCUGCCUACUGGAAGCAGAUAACAAAGAUAAGAGUGCGUGUGAAGUACCUCUACUAAGAUCAUAUAAACAAUAGGUUGAAGCAAACGGGAUUAUCAACACGUACCCUUGGUCAUGUCACAUUUAGCUCCUACAUGAUGAAGCCAAUCAGAAUUUUUGUUAUAAAUUCAGACAACGUAGACAAACACAAAAACCUAAUUGGUACACAGAUGGAAAAACUGUACCCAUGUUUACACAUUUGCAGAGGAGGUCAGCUCAUUAUCAGACCCCACCAUUUCUACUGUAGGGGUGGUGCAUAGUGGAAGCUUCUUGCGCAUCAAAUGUUUACGCCGUUGUAACAUCAAAAGGACCAAAACAGUAUCUGUCUUAACAACCUCGUAUCCUGCUUUCUUGUACAUAUUGAAAGGAGCCUCAUCCACCAUCCUACAAUGCAAGUAGACAUCUUUUGAUGGACUAAUCUGAGAUAUCAAUUCCUCACUCGCCUUCAACAAAUGCCACCCAAUUCCCCUCCUAACAAAUCAUCACACAAACAUUCUCAUAAACGAAAUCAACAAGAAUAACAACACAAAGCUUCUUAAAAUCAUACACAGAGCUUAGCCAAAUACCUUCUAAGAUCCUCUUUCACAGUCAUGUUGCAAAUAUAAGGUGAUUCCUUAGGAGGAGUUGGAGAAGGAGGCGAAGCAUUAGUGCCUCGUUUAUCCAAACAAACCUCAACAGUUCCAGCCAUCUCAGCCUCCUCCUCUCCAUCAUCACUAAACCCAUCAACUUUUUUCCUAAAGAACCCAACUAAAGUAACUGCGUGUGGCAACACUUCUCUCCUCUCAAUCAAAUACUGCUUAACCAAAAACCGUAACACAGACUGAUAACCAGAAGGCAAUAACAUCGAUUCACCAAAUGACUCAGCCAAUAGAUGCACCGUUGAAUCCAUCUCUUCAUGUCUCAUAACUCGAACCCACAUCGAUCCAGAUUCAAGCUCCUGAAAAUACGCAAAUCCUUCAAGAGUUUUCAACUUCUCUAACUCAUCGUUACUCAAAAACCUCCCAGUUCGAAACGUUUCCUCUAGAAACGCGUAGCUUCCGGUAGAUUUCGCAGCUUCUUCUCCAGUUUCUGUAGCUGUCGAAACCGAAGAAGGAGGGAAAGCGAAUCUGAGAUUGGAGCGGUGAGAUCUACACGAAUAGAGUAAUGGAUAUCUAGGUGAGGAAGAAGAGAAACCAAACUUCGUUGAUUGGCUUGGUUUAAGAAAAUCAACAGAGAAAGCGAGUGAGAUGCUUAAGGCCGCCAUUGACACACACAGAGACGAUUAUCUUUCUCUCCGAUUUGGUGGUGGUUCAGUAUUCGCUAAUCUGUUAUAACGAAAUAAAAUGGAUAAAGUAACUGACACUAAUCUAUAAAACGUCGCGUUUUGAAUUUACCAUGAAGCUCAUUAAUUAUUGGGCCCUAUGGCCCAGAUUGAUAAAGUGUAAAUAUAGGUAAUCCUUAAAACGCAGCGUUUUGCUAUAAGCCUAUAAGUAUUUGGGCUUAAGGCCCAUAUUGCGAUAUAUAUAGUUUAAUUUUUCCGAAGCUCGGCGAUUUCAGAAGACGGAGGAGGAGCGAGGACGGCCGCCAUGGAUCCAGCAGGAGGAGCAUCGGUGGCCAGCGAUAUUGGAGGAGAAGGAGAGAAAUUCGCGGUGGGGAAUAUUUAUUCAGUGAAGGUGAUCACCGGAGAUGAGUUCCGAGGGAUCGUCAUGGCUUACGACCCCAUUCCCAACUUCGUCUUUUUUGAUAUCCUUCGCAGUUUCUUUAAUUGUUUGUUUCAUAAAAAUCUGAGAUUUAGGGAUUUUUGAUGUCUAGACCUGAAUUUGUGGAAUCCUUGAUUGGUUUUUUACAAGAAGGAACAAAACCUAGACCAGGGCAUUCGAAGAACGCUCGGAUGGUGAAUGCGAAUUUUAUUACAGGGCUUUCGUAUUUAGGCAAAACCGAAGAUCCACUUGAUACAGACAACUUUUCUGUUGAUCUUAAUGGUCUCCGAGCUAAAGAGGCACUUGCUAUCAGGUGAUAAGAUAUUUUGUUGUUGAAUCUUUUCAAAAUGCAAUUUUUAUUGAUGUUUGCUUAUUUUGAGCUUACUUGGGAAAACGUAUUGAGCACAGGCAAGCGGAAGCAGAUGCUGAGAGAAUGGGAGUUGGUGUUACCGCUGAGGCUCAGAGCAUCUUCGACGCGUUGUCUAAGACGUAAGGUUCUUCUCUUUUUAUUCGUUGCGGAUCAAAAAUAGCUAAUCUCACAGCUUAGAGUGAUCAUGAGUCUAUUUUAGCUAUACGGUAGAGAGAUGGGAACGAGAUCUUAAUCACAUGUUUAGUUUACGUAUUAGCUAUUUGUAAAUAACUGCUUGGUUUGGAGGAAUUAGUUUGAGCUUCUAAUGUGUUAUUGCCAAAGAUAAAUUGUUGGAAUCUGGACAUGAUUUAGUGUUGUAUUGGCUCUAGGUUUCCAGUGAUGCUAGCUUUGCAACAAUAUAUAUGCAAAGUUUCUAUUUUUUGUUGUUGUAGACUAAUGUUGCGUGCUCUAGUGUCAAGAAUCUUUAGUGUUCUCUGUGAUACAAUUAAGAAGCUGUCUAGAUACAUAGUUUUAAAUCCUAAAAUUUUCUUUGUUUCUAAUGUCAGUUCAGAGGAAACAGCAGAAUUUACUUUUUUCUCUUUCAAAUGAAUCACAUGUGAAUUAUUUUCCUUGUAGGCUUCCUGUGCAAUGGGAAAACUCAGACAUUCUGGUGAUGAAAGAGGUACGCGUUCGUAGCCCGUAUCUUUCAGAUUGUGUCUUUGGAGGAACUGAUGCUGCAAACAACCGAGUCAAGAAAGUGGUAAGCAUCACUUUCAGUUCAUUGUGUAAUGUCAAUUAAGCCUCUGGUGUUAUAUUAGUCUCUUGCAUUCAAAUCGGGUAAUGUUGAUCGAGCCUUGGGUGUGAUAGUAAUGCAAUUUUGCCUUAUCGCAGCUUGAGCUGGAGAGACGAAGGUUGCAACUCUUUGGCACAUGAGACCAGUGAAAGGAGUCGGUCAGUGAAAUAGCGAAAAGGGGUUUGUUGCUACUAACCCGAAAAGCUUCUAGAUCUGAUCGACCAGCGAAAAGUGGAUAUGUUUGCUUUUCGCAUGUUGUUGUCUUUACUUAGAAUCUGCUUGUCCUUGUAAAAGCAGAUUAGAGAUUUCUUGAGUUGCAGGGAUUGAAAUUUGGACUAAUUUCACCCUGUUAAUGACAAGAACAGUGAGGUCUUGUCCACUUUUUACCAGGUCUUGGUUAAUUUAUCGCCUGGAAUGGAACUGUAAUCUAUUCUAAAAUGUUGAACUCGAGAAACGACAUUUUAUUGACUUCUCCAAUAGAAUUUUAAAUCUUGUGUGCAUUAGAACUGAGUUCCUUCUUCAAUGAGAAAGUUUUUAAGAAAUGUUUUUAUCUGUUGUUUGUUAACAGGGAUCAAUAAAACAUGUUUCGAGUGAUUGGAAUUUAUUGAGAAUGAUGCGAGUACACGCAUUAGUAUUGAACUAUUUAUAGAUUCCAAUGAUGAUCACAAUAUAUUCAUCAAUUAGACCAUGGUGAUGUAUAACACACAAGAUAUACACUUGAGAUUGGGUAAAUCAAGCAUCAACUAACUUAUUGAUUACAAACCAACAUUGAUCUCUAAAUGUGAUCGAAAUUUUAAGUUCCUACAAAGCAUGAAGAGAUAGAGAGAUAUAACAAUGAUCACUCUUAGGUUGCUUGAUAUCAUUUCAAUCAAGUUUCACGAAUGUUGUAAAAUGAAUCCAAAAACCACAAAAACAAUUUGUAAUGUAAUUCAACAAUAGAACUUGUAACAUAGAUCGACACAAUAAAGAUGAGAGUUCUGCUUCUUCUAACAGGUACUAAAAUAUGAGCCACACAAGUUCUUUAUACUACUAAGAAGGCAAAAAAAACACUCCUACUAAGUAGACAAAAAAAAAGUCCACACACUUGCUUCUAGUCUUCUACUUGAGUACUUCGCUGAGAUUGAGAUGCGUUCAUUUGCGAUCCACUACUUCCACAAGCCUGAAAACACAACCAUUUACCAGCAACAAUAUAACAAUCUCACACAAAUUACAGCACCAGAUUAAACUAAGAUAUGAGCAAUUUUCCACACAAAACUGAACUCAAGAUGGAAAGAGACUAACCUGAAGAGCUCUCUUACCACACGAUCGAGAAUUGUGCCCUGCUUGACCACAUUUCUUACAAUGUAUUGUGCGCUUGCUAAGUUUCACUUUUUUCUUAGGUGGAGACACAUUCUUUCCUUUUCUCUUUCGCUUCUUCAAUGGAGACUCAUCACAAGUUAGCAAAACAAGAAUUAUCAAAAUGGUAUUUUCUUUGUAUUAGUUUACAGUUUGAGCAUUUUAUAUAUACCUUAAGCUUCUUCUCAGAAUCCGGAUCAUAAUCUGGAUCAUCACACUUAGCACGUUUUCUUUUGUUAUUAUCAGUAUUAUCAGACGCAAUCUUGAUCAUCGCUGGAUCAAUACACUUAGCACGUUUUCGUUUGUUAUUAUCAGACGUAAUCUUGAUCAUCGCUGGAUCAUUACACUUAGCACGUUUUCGUUUGUUAUUAUCAGACGGCGCAAUAUGUUGCUUAGCCUCGGGAGGGAUGGUUAGCUUAGUGCCAGCUGAAAGGUAGACGCUGAAACCUAGAAGAAUAUUCCGGUGGUUUUUCAUGAGUUCCUUCACCUUUGCAAUGAAACCAGCUUUAUCAGCUCUACAAAGAGACACGUAAUGUCAGAGUUAAUUCACAAUGUGUGUUUUGUUGUAUAGCAGAAUUGCGAGUUAAAAGUAAGAGCAAACCAAAAAUAACAGGAUACAAAUAAUUCCAUACCUGUUAGCUUUAAAAUCAUUGAAUAUCUUUAUCCAUUCUUUUAAUUUUGCAGGUUCAUUAGAAAAUGCCUUUCUCACAGAAGCCAUGUAAGCAGGGGCAUUAAGCUUACUUAGCUCCGGUGAUACUCUUAUGCAGACUAUGGUUUGAGAUUGGCCUAACCCUUUGUUAGCCUUGGUAGGGAUGGUUAUCUUAGCCUCGGGAAGGAAGACAUUGAGACCACGAAGCAGCUUUCGGUGCCCUUUAAUGAGUUCAGUCAUCCUUGCAAUGCCACUAUCUUUGUUGAUUCUACAAAGAGACUUAAUUAGUAACAUCAUAAUCAGUUCUCAUGUGUGUUUUUUGUUAUCAGGAGUUGAAAAUAAUGCAUACCGAUGAGCUUUAAUGUCAUUCAAGACCUUGAGAAAUUCUUUAAAUUUUGCUGGUUCAUCAUGAAGUGCUUCCUUCACAGCAGUGAGGUAUGAAACCGCAUCAUCCAUAGUUGCCUUGGGUGAUAAGCGUCUUCCAGACAUGGGGUGAAAUUGGCCUAAAAUAAAUAAGGUAUCAUUUAUAUAUCAAAAUAGAUGAGAUCAAUCAUUGAAUCCCUCUUGUAUCUCAAAGUUAUUACCACUUUUCCUUAAAAAUGGCUUAAGAAUCUUUCUAGAAACAGAGCCUAGAGUGCAGAAAACAAUACACAUCUCAUUCCUUAAGUUUUAAAGCAUUUCAAAUCUCAUAAGCCAUAAUAAGCUAAUUCUCACAAAAACCUAUUACAAAGUCAUCAAAAACUCUUUCGUCCCUUUUAAAAACCACAUGGCACAUAAACUACACAUGUGAAGCAGUCAAUUCAUAUCGAAGCAAACCAGUGAAACACUGGAUUAGAUGUCUUAAUCUCAUUCUCAACCAACAAAAUAUAUAUAUAACUCAUGCAAUUCACCAAUUAAGAGCUUGCCAGAGGAUCGAAUCAUCAGAUGGGUUUCAUUUAGAGAUGAGCUUUACGUUUUAAAAAAUAUCAUAUCUAAAUUUGAGAGUUCAAGUUCCUUCCAUUUCAUCUCUCGGAUUUGAUAUGAUUCAGGUAAAUUUCAUCAUAGAUACAAAGAACAAAAUUCGAAAUCAACCCACCAAUACAACUACAAAAGCAACUAAAUACAAGCCUGAAAUAAAUUCCCAAGCAAUGAAACCAGAAAAUACGAAAUUCUAGUUAUCUAAACGAAAUUAAAAUAUAACAAAAAGAAAAAGAAGAUGACCAUCGCGUAUAUAGUUACCGAAUAUCAGAGAAGAAGAAGAAGAUUUGGAGAACCAGCUUAUCACUUGUAUACCACACGAUCACGACGAGAGACGGAGACGGAGAGGAGUUUCUAGAAAAGUUUCUCGAAUUUCUUGAUGAUAAUUAAAUGAUUCGUUUAGGGUUUUUCUCAUGUAAAAAACUUCAACCAAUUAGAGUUAGAAAUUAUGUUAACAUAAAUAUGAAAAAUUCCAAAUUUAAAAUAUGUAUUUAGAUUAAGAAAAAAAGGUAAAGAAAUCUAUGCAUCAUUCUUAAAUGAAAUUAAAUAAAUUAUACAAUCAGAUACUAAUCUUAAAAAGAUAAGGAAAUAAAUAAAUAGAGAAAAUAAAAAAGAAAUCAAUUUAUUUUUAUCUUGAUAAUUUUUUAAAAAAUGAAAGUCAAAUAAUUUUAAAAAUAAACUUUAUUCAAAUAGAAAUACAAAAAGCAAUUUGUAUAAGUUUCACGAAUAUAAUUCGUCAACAAGACAUAAGGCUUUUGACGUCGGUUAGACUCACAAAAAUGCCCAUUUUUCAAUAUUCAUUUUCAAAAAUGCCCCCUUUGGCUGUCUAUUUUUAAAAAUACCCAUUUUUAUGUACAAAAUAACUAAAUUAUCCUUCUUUUAAUAAAAGAUAUCACAAAUAUAUAAGGAAAAUAUGAGAAUGUGCACACAUCAAAAUUACAAAUUUGAUUUUGUAAAAACUUGUAAAACCUUUUAAAUACCUUGUAAAAUUUUUCCGCCAAAAAAUUUUUUUUGCGGGAAAAGUGAUUCUGCAAUUUUUUUGGCGGAAAAAUUUUACAAGGUAUUUUAAAGGUUUUUUACAGUUAUUUAUAAGGUUUUAUAAUGUAUUUUAAAAGGUUUUACAACGUAUUUAUAAGGUAUUUAUAAGAUAUUAUAAGAUUUUACAAGCUAUUUUAUAAGGUUUUAUAAGUUAUAAGGUUUUACAAGUUAUUUAUAAGGUUUUACAAGUUAUAAAUACCUUAUAAGUACCUUGUAAAACCUUUUAAAAUACAUUGUAAAACCUUACAAAACACUUGUAAAUAUGCUGUAAAACCUUUAAAAUACCUUGUAAAUUUUUCCCGCCAAAAAAAUUGCGGAAUCAAUUUUCGCGCAAAAAAAAAAUUUUGGCGGGAAAAAUUUUUACGGGAAAAUUGCGGGAUCACAUUUCCCGCCAAAAAAUAUUUUUUAUUUUGUGGACCUAAUUUUGUUUCAAAUAAGGGUAAAAUGGUCAUUAAAAAUUAAAAGAGGGCAAACUUAAAAAUGGACUCUCAAAUGGGGCAUUUUUGAAAAGGGGUAUUAAAAAGAGGCAUUUUUAACAAUUUCUCUAUUUAUGGUGUCAUAAUUUGGAUUAGAAAGACAUCCGGCAAAUUGUUUGUGUUCAUUUUAACCGUUUUCGCAUUAGUGAAACGCUUUCGAUUGGCUACUGUAAACAUUUUACAAGCUAAGUAGGUAGAAAAAUAUGGUAUAAAUUUUCUUAAUAAAUGAAUAAUUUGGUUUUGGAAAAAAAGAAAUUGGUUAACAUUAAAAAUAUUUUUAAAUCACAUCGAUAACUUUGGUAGUUUGGUAUACCAUCAUGUCAACAUACUUGAUUUUAUACAUAAUAAAUGACUUAAUUUUCAAUUAUAACAUUAGAAAUAAAUUAUACAACAUAUAUUUUGAGAAUAGCGAUGGCACUGCACACUAUGAUAUGUAAAGUAUAAAUAUAAAAUUGUUCUGCCCUAUUAUUUGUUUCUUCUAAGACAGAGUUUUUUUUUUUUCUACGACAUGCAUGCAUGUCGUUGAAUAGUAACAUUUGCACGUAUUAUCUUUAUCAAAAAAAGAAAAAACAUUUGCACGUAUUGAACGAUUAACCAUGCAUCUCUUACGAAGAUACGUCGGCUUAAUUUUCGUAAUAACUAGUAUAUAUAACGAUAUUACUUUUAGCUACAUUCUAUUUCGUGUUACCUACGCUUCAAACAAACAUGAAAGUAUGAAACAGAUAUUACGAAAUUCUCCAUUUCAGUUCAAUAGUCCCGAAACAGAUUGUUUUAUUAAUUAAAGAGCCCCAAAAGAAACACACGAGAAGCUUUUUAUCGAGUAUGAAUCACAAUCCAUCUUCCCCCAUCGAAAAACAUAUAAAUAAAAAAAAACACCAACAAUAUGUAGAGGACAAAUAGGAUGAUUUAGUAACAUUUGCAGGCAUGAAAAAGAUUUAUAUACAAAAUUUAUCCAUUUCAUCUAAAUAUUUGCGAAACAGAUUUUUUUAGUAACGAGCCCCAAAACAGAAGAUCUCAUGAAUCAAUCAGAGAAAGAAAUACACCAAAAGGGUUUUGUCGAGUAUGAAUCCCAAUCUGUAUACUUGAUUCCAUCUCACCCAUUGGAAAAUAUAAAACCACAUCGGAAAAUAUAAAACCAGUAACAAUAUGUACAAGAAAAUUCUCCCAUAAUCAACAGGUGAUUCAAUGGCGUUUGCCACGAAUCCGUCUGGCCAGUUCCAUGUCCCUGCGCAUGAUCGUCACCCUCCUAGCAUGAAUCGCAGAUAGAUUGGUGUCUUCAAAAAAACCCACAAUAAAGGCUUCAGCAGCUUCUUGUAAUGCAAGUAUUGCAUGGCUCUGAAACUUCAAAUCGGGCUGCAGAAAUAACAAGAUACAAGUUUAUUUAUUGCUAACUCAAAUAACCAAUUUUACCACACAAAAAAAAAAUGAAAACUCAAAUAACAAGCGAAAUAUUCAUUGAGCAGUUAAGUUCUAGUUAAGAUUAUAUACCCUAUAGUUUUCGGCGACUUCACGAACAAGACUCUGGAAACGCGCAGAUCGGAAGUACUCUGAUAUUUGCGAAUCUCACUACAGCAACGGUACGUUGUUAAACACAUAUCUCAUAAACAAAUCCGGUAGAAGAGAGUUAAACAAAAUAUUACCGAAGACGAGGAGGCUCAACAGGUUCAGGGAUAGGUUCAGGUUCAUGAUCAGCCUCAGCCUCAGAUUCAUGAUCAGCUUCAGGCUCAGAUUCAUGAUCAGCUUCAGGCUCAGAUUCAUGAUCAGCCUCAGCUUCAGAUUCAUGAUCAGCCUCAGCUUCAGAUUCAUGAUCAGCCUCAAGUACUUCGUGAUCAGCCUCAGCUUCAUGUUCAGAUUCUUCACCCAAAUUAUCUAAAUCGUUUGCGUCUACAUCGUUGCUUAUCGGUGGCUGUAAUUUCGAAAGUCCAGAAAAAUAAGAAUCAGAACCCUAGAAACACAAUCUCCGAAUCUAUUUAGAAACCCUAACGGAGACAAAAAGAAACUAAUCAAACCUCCACGGCGAUUUGCGUCCUCGGAGCUUCUAGUACUUCUACAGUACCAUUACCAUAUGGACCUGAUCUUCGUGGAUUUGCUUGCUUCUUGCGAGGCAUGUCUCCCAGCAGUGAUUCUCCGAGCAAGAUCAAGAAAGAAGUACAAGAGAGGAUUCUUGGUAUAACCGUUCUUGAAGAAUCUCUCUAGUAUCUCAAUUCUCUAGUAGUUAUACUUAUCCUGCAAUUCCUUUCUUAUAUAGAAUAAUUUGGUGGCUAGGUUUCGUUAUUAUUUUGAAAAUGUGAUAACCACGCUACCGAAAUAUCUAACCAAAGGUUCCAAAAACCAAAAAAAAACUACGUAUUGUGAAGCUUAAAUGUAUCAUAUACGUGGACUGAUAGAUCAGCUGUUAGAGAACGAUUUAAAAAACAAAUUAAAUCAAAAAGAAGAGAAAGAAUCAAGAUGAUGUGAAUUUUUAUGAAAUUGCAGACUUAAAUAAUGAGAAAAAAAAACAUAAAUCAAGUUUGUUAGUGGCACGCUUCCGAAUGGCUACUUUAAAUAUUAUACAAGCUAAGUAGGUAACGAAAAUGUUAUAAAUUUUUUAAAAAUGUAUAAUUUGGGUUUGGCAAAAAAGAAUUCUAAUAAUAUGGUACAUACUAAAUAUAUACAACUUUGAUAUACCGUCUUGUCAUCAUAUUUGACUUACGCAUAGUACAAUGAAAUACUUUUUUCGAUAAAAAACAUUUUAAAUAAGUUAUACAACUAUAUUGUGAGAAUAGCGAUGGUACUGCACACUGGGAGAACAAGCUUCUCCUUUUACACCAUACGAUCACGAAUAGAGAGAGUUGAAUUAUUGUUUUAAGGAUCUUCUAAUUUCCAAUUUUAGAUUUUAUUUUAUUUUAAUUUGGAUUUCGGCAAUCUUUUUAUCUAAAGCUCCACGAAAGUUGACAAAUAAGCAGUGUUCAAGAAACAGAACCUAGAUUAUCCAGUUGAUUCUUUUUUUUGUGAAACUUACGUAAACAAACCCUAAUAUCCUCCAGCAUUGGAUUC